CUACAACAUGGGAUUCAAGCCAGACGAGGAGAAAGAAGGACCCACUCAGCAGCCAUUUUAAUUCAAGGUCGAAGACUAUAUACCCAGGGCCAUGGCUGUGAACCUAUCCACUCUGACUGUUUGUCUGCUAGCCACAGCCAUUCUGCAUGCUUACGGUUCUUCUGCAAGUGAACCAAAUGUGACCAACCCUACCCCUGAUAUGUCAACUUCCAUUCAUACUACUGAAGUGACCAGCUCCCUAUUCACCCAGGACAGCUCCACACCCACCCAGCCCAGCUCCACACCCACCCAGGCCAGCUCCACACCCACCCAGGACAACUCAACACCCACCCAGGCCAGCUCCACACCCACCCAGGACAACUCCACACCCACCCAGGCCAGCUCCACACCCACCCAGGACAACUCCACCCCCACCCAGGCCAGCUCCAAACCCACCCAGGACAACACAACACCCAGCCAGUCUAGUGACGAGACAGGACUGUCAGGUGGUGAGAUAGCCGGUAUCGCUGUUGGCAGCAUCGCUGGGGUGGCAGCUAUUGGUGGGGGGAUCUUUGCUGGUCUGAAAUUUAGUGGAAAGUUGGGCUAAUGGUGUUGCUUGACUGCUAGACUGUAAAGGGCUGGGCUCAAUGAGAACGUGUGGUAAUAUAUGAUAUAUUUUAUUAUAUUGCAUUGCCCUGAGACCAGUCCAAGACUCUAUCUGCUGCAGAACUGUGGAAAAGAACCAGAAACCUCUUGGUUUCCUCCAUCUGUAACCACAGACAAGCAAAACACCAUUAUUAGGGACAUCAAUUGAAAUUGCAUUACUAAGGGCCAAAAUAAGGAAUGUUAAGAUAUCUAAUUCAACUGUCUAAUUCAAAAGUAAUAUAAAAUAAUGUGUGUGCCUUCAAUACACAAUGCGCAUGUUUCACUGGCUGUCAUUUAACGUUCAGUUUAGGAUGAAUGCAUACAUGUAUGGGAGCAUGCAAAAGUAAUUUCUGAAAUAGAUAAUAAGACAAAACUUUUUAAUAGAUCUGUUUUAUAAAUACACAUUAUUUUCAAUAUUUUGGCUCCCUACAUCCACUUUAACAAUGCUUUGAACAUUUUAGGUGAGAACAGAUACUUUUUUGCCAAAUGAAAAUGUCAAGAUGAUAACAAAAGAUCACAUGGGAUUUUGUUAAAAAUAUUUUAUGUUAUGCAGACAGUUCACUUAACAACUACAUACUGUGAUGAAUAUAAUUAUUUUAAAUGUAUUUUAUUUUUUUACAAAGUAAACCUCUAAUUUGAUAAUAAAGUUCAUGACCAGUUG